ensembl:snRNA U6 U6 spliceosomal RNA
GUGUUUGCUUCAGCAACCCAUAUUCUAACAUUGGAACGAUACAGAGAAUAUUAGCAUGGCUCCAGAGCAAAAGUGGUCCAUAUUUUUCAGAAAGACUCAAAAAUAUG